GAGCAACGCGUUGCCGGGAGCGGGGGUAAGACGGUGGGGUGAAGCGUUAGCCGGAUUUAGUGGGGUUCAAGGGUUCGUAGGCGGGCGCGUAAGUCAGUGGUGAAAGCCUGCAGCUUAACUGUAGAACUGCCGUUGAUACUGCGAGUCUUGAGUAAAUUUGAAGUGGCUGGAAUAAGUAGUGUAGCGGUGAAAUGCAUAGAUAUUACUUAGAACACCAAUUGCGAAGGCAGGUCACUAAGAUUUAACUGACGCUGAUGGACGAAAGCGUGGGGAGCGAACAGGAUUAGAUACCCAGUAGUC
rnacentral:rRNA from 1 species